rnacentral:lncRNA from 1 species
CUGGUCUACAUGAGCUGUUCUUCAGAGCACUCCUAGAAAACAGCCAUCUGAUGCCGGGGGAAACAGUGGUUUUCCUGUGACCUGCCAAAGGCAGAGCUGGGAUCUGAUGGAAAGCAGGGGCUCCGGGACCUCAGACAUAACCCAGGGUCCAAAGGUCGCUGACUGGGCUCACCUCCACUCGUCUUUCCCCAUCAGCAGUGUGUGGGUUUCCUGUGCGCAUUUCCCACCGGUCACUCUCAGGCCUUGAGGCUGCUUCCUCCUGUCAGUCUAUCCUGCCACCAGUGAACAUGCUUGAGCUAAAAGAGGAGCAUCAGUGCUUCUGGACAAGAGCUGUGGCCAUGACGCUUGUCCACGUCAGUUCUAGAGCAGUGGCCCUUGGCUCCUCACAGCUACAGAGUGAGGGAAAGUGCGCGUAGAGGGCGUCGUCUCUGGCAUCCAGUUAUAAAACAUCAAGGGAUCCUGUCAGAAUCCUGGAUUUCUUCCAUAGUGUCAGACUCCUGUGUCUUAAAAAAGCAUUCCCAACAGUAUCUCUAGUACAUCAGACUAAACCGGAGUGAAGCCACUGCAGCCCGGCUCCUACGGCUCCUCUAGGAAACCCCGUGUGUACUGCUCACUUCCUCACUGCUCACUGCAGGCGUCUCACUCCAGACCUAAGAACUCGGUCCUACGGCCUUGCUGCAGUACAAUUGACAUCCGGCAAACUAAGUUUAAAGUGUACAGAUUGCCCCGAGUUAACACUGCAGUUGCCACUGUCAAUGCAUGUCACCCUCAAGUCUCCCUUCACCUGAUUUAAAGUGACAUAGAACAUGCUGUUUAGAGAUAGACAGUCCAGUCCCUUUCAGCACGUGUUUUGAAAAUUGUUUAUGUGUCGAUGUAAGGUCAUCCCACUUUGGUACACAUAGCUGCAAACCUUUUCUGACUGUUCUUCACUGCAGACCCCGCAAACCAAACUCAGCCAUCUCCACCCAGCCUCCCAGUACCACUGUGGCCAGUUACACCACAGUUAACCCCUGGGCUCGCUCAGGCCACCUCUGUCUGCCAGCCACAGAGGGCAGGUACGUUCCUCUUCCCAGGCCUGGCACCUGCGGCACAUACAGUGAGCUAACAAGCCUCGUGUGCUUAGAGGCAGCCCUGCCCAGUCACAGUAUUACGUACAGUGCUGUGCUCUGUUUGCAAAACCAUUAAUGACUUCAGGCUUGAAGGAAGCUGGCUCUCACGCCUUUCCCCUGGCGUGUCUGCUCUCGUGUCAGGAUGACGACGGCAUCCCCAAACACUGGGAAACAUUCCCGGGAUUUUCACACACAGUUUCCAGUCUCACACUUGUGUAAGAUACCUGCUGAUCUAUUUUUACGAAUGUCUUGAAUUAUAAAUUCAAUUUCAAAAGU